rnacentral:rRNA from 1 species
CGCAUAACGUCGCUAGACCAAAGAGGGGGACCUUCGGCCCUCUUGCCAUCGGAUGUGCCCAGAUGGGAUUAGCUAGUAGGUGGGGUAACGGCUCACCUAGGCGACGAUCCCUAGCUGGUCUGAGAGGAUGACCAGCCACACUGGAACUGAGACCCGGUCCAGACUCCUACGGGAGGCAGCAGUGGGGAAUAUUGCACAAUGGGCGCAAGCCUGAUGCAGCCAUGCCGCGUGUAUGAAGAAGGCCUUCGGGGUGUAAAGUACUUUCAGCGGGGAGGAAGGAGAUAAGGUUAAUAACCUUGUCGAUUGACGUUACCCGCAGAAGAAGCGGCUAACUCCGUGCCAGCAGCCGCGGUAAUACGGAGGGUGCAAGCGUUAAUCGGAAUUACUGGGCGUAAAGCGCACGCAGGCGUUCUGUCAAGUCAGAUGUGAAAUCCCCGGGCUCGUGGGAACUGCAUUCGAAACUGGCAAGCUAGAGUCUUGUAGAGGGGGGUAGAAUUCCAGGUGUAGCGGUGAAAUGCGUAGAGAUCUGGAGGAAUACCGGUGGCGAAGGCGGCCCCCUGGACAAAGACUGACGCUCAGGUGCGAAAGCGUGAGGAGCAAACAGGAUUAGAUACCCUGGUAGUCCACGCCGUAAACGAUGUCGACUUGGAGGUUGUGCCCUUGAGGCGUGGCUUCCGGAGCUAACGCGUUAAGUCGACCGCCUGGGGAGUACGGCCGCAAGGUUAAAACUCAAGUGAAUU